rnacentral:rRNA from 1 species
UACGGGGGGGGCAAGCGUUGUUCGGAAUUACUGGGCGUAAAGGGCUCGUAGGCGGCCAACUAAGUCAGACGUGAAAUCCCUCGGCUUAACCGGGGAACUGCGUCUGAUACUGGAUGGCUUGAGGUUGGGAGAGGGAUGCGGAAUUCCAGGUGUAGCGGUGAAAUGCGUAGAUAUCUGGAGGAACACCGGUGGCGAAGGCGGCAUCCUGGACCAACACUGACACUGAGGAGCGAAAGCCAGGGGAGCAAACGGA